rnacentral:ncRNA from 1 species
ACCUGGGCUUCCAUUUCACGAUCAGAAAGGCCACCGCAAAUCUGGAUAAUACGGUCAGACAGCGUCGACUUACCGUGGUCGAUGUGAGCAAUGAUCGAAAAGUUACGUAUAUUCUUCAUAUUAGAGUUAAUUAUGCCUUACGAAUUCCUGGAGGCCGCUGUUCUGCGCCUGACGUAUUGAUCGUUCGAAAACGCCGCAUUCUACACUACAUCUCCGUCACCAGGAAAUGCUCUUCCGGCAAGCAUAGCGGUUAGCAGAAAGGAGAUCUCGCGGCAGAUGUAAAUAAAGAUAAAAGCCAGUGAAUUCACUGGCCCAUUUCAGAAGAAGCGGUAUCGAUGCGCAGCAGUUCGGGCGGUAGGCCAACGCUUAAAAUUGUCGGCUGCAGGGCGUCACGCGCCGCCAGCUUCGGCGACAGGCCGCGGGCAAUGAGAAAACCGCCGACGCCGCCGAGCAGCGCGCCGGUCAGCGCCGCCAGAUCGCUGCCGAAGCAGAGCUGGAACAGCGCAGCGACGGUGAAAAGCCCCAGCAGCGGCGUCAUGUAAACCAGCAGCGCGGAGGUCAGCAGGCUGCCUUCGCCAAUGCCAAGCUCCACUUUUUGCCCGGCGACUAACGGCUGCGCGCUUGGCACACUGAUGGUGUGCUGGGUUUGCGGUCCGAGCUUGUUAAGCACCCGGCUGCCGCAGCCCGCGCGGGAAGCGCAGCUGCUGCAGGAAGCUUUCACGUCGCAGCUUACCUGCGCUAAGCCGUCAUGCCAGGAGAUGACGGUUGCCCACUCUUUGAUCAUGGCGAAAUUCCAGGCUUAAUGCUGUCGGCAAUGCGC